rnacentral:misc_RNA from 1 species
GAUGAAGAACGUAGCGAAAUGCGAUAAGUAAUGCGAAUUGCAGAAUUCCAGUGAGUCAUCGAAUCUUUGAACGCACAUUGCGCCCGCCAGUAUUCUGGCGGGCAUGCCUGUUCGAGCGUCAUUACAACCCUCAGGCCCCCGGGCCUGGCGUUGGGGAUCGGCGGAGCCCCCCGUGGGCACACGCCGUCCCCCAAAUGCAGUGGCGGUCCCGCCGCAGCUUCCAUCGCGUAGUAGCUAACACCUCGCGACUGGAGAGCGGCGCGGCCACGCCGUAAAACACCCAACUCUUCUGAAGUUGACCUCGAAUCAGGUAGGAAUACCCGCUGAACUUAAGCAUAUCAAUAAGCGGAGGA